AUGGUGCCGCCUGUGUACCAGGAGCCUAGUAUCAUGCCGAUCAAUACAAGAACGGAGAAGGAGUUGGAAGAAAAGGAGGUGUUAUGCACGCACAAAAAGCCCAAAGCUACAGGGUGUGUUGCCCAACCGCAGCAGGAAACUGAACUCGCCAUUGAGAGUGAGAAUAAAGGGCAUGGUGAUCCUUCACCAAAAGAGUCUGCUUGUGUUGUGCUGAGCAAUGGUGAAGCAAAUGGUUGCAGUGAGGGGCAUGUUCUUGACAUGACUCGGGUAGAAAGGAUCAUUACAGUUCAAAUAUUCCAUACAGGCGGUGCAAAUGAAGAACCAGAAGCAAGGUCGAGACUGGCUCAACUCUGCAGUGCAAUUGGCUGGAAGAGUCCAACAUAUGAGUUUCAAGAACAUGGACAUGGCCAUACAAAACUGUUCACAUGCAAGGUGAGUGUUCUUGUGGAGACGUUCACAGACACUGUUGUGGAGUGCAUCAGUGAGCCCAAACCCCAGAAGAGAGCUGCCCAGGAACAAGGUGCUGAAGGUGUGUUAUGGACCCUCAAGCGCCUUGGUCAUGUGAAAUAG
rnacentral:rRNA from 1 species